UAGUCAUAUGCUUGUUUCAAAGAUUAAGCCAUGCAAGUCUGAGUAUAAGGUUUCCGAAAACUGCGAAUGGCUCUUUAAAACAGCGAUAGCCUCUGCACGUAUAAAGCUUAAUGGAUAACUGUGGUAAUUCUAGAGCUAAUACAAGAGCCCUUCAUUGGGUUGUGUGCGAAAGUUACAGACCAAGUGAUUUGUUUCAAAUCACCACUGAUGACUCGAAUCGCACAUUUUAUCGUUUCGCGAUAUUUUGCUUGGGUUUCUGACCUAUCAGCUAUCGACGGUAGAUUAUUGGUUUACCGUGGCUGUGACGGGUAACGGGGAAUUAGGGUUCGAUUCCGGAGAGGGAGCUUGAGAAAUGGCUACCACAUCUAAGGAAGGCAGCAGGCGCGCAAAUUACCCAAUCUUAAAGCAAGGAGGUAGUGACCAAAAAUAUCGAUGAUCGGCAGUAAAUGUCAACAAUCGGAAUGAGCGAUGUCUACACCGUAUCGCAAGCAUCAAUU
rnacentral:rRNA from 1 species